UACGUAGGGGGCAAGCGUUGUCCGGAAUCAUUGGGCGUAAAGCGCGUGUAGGCGGUCCGGUAAGUCCGCUGUGAAAGUCGGGGGCUCAACCCUCGGAUGCCGGUGGAUACUGUCGGGCUUGAGUACGGAAGAGGCGAGUGGAAUUCCUGGUGUAGCGGUGAAAUGCGCAGAGAUCAGGAGGAACACCCAUGGCGAAGGCAGCUCUCUGGUCGACCUCUGACGCUGAGACGCGAAAGCGUGGGGAGCGAACGGG
rnacentral:rRNA from 1 species